ACCUGGCUGGCUCAGGUGGAAGAGCAGGUGACUCGUGAUCUCAGGGUCAUGAGUUCAAGCCCCAUGUUCGGUG
rnacentral:tRNA from 1 species